rfam:Sorghum bicolor cultivar BTx623 chromosome 2, whole genome shotgun sequence.
UAGCUUUUUCUUAAGUCAAACUUUUCUAAUUUUGACAAUUUUAGAAAAUAUAUUAACAUCUACAAGUUCAAAUAAAUGCAAUACCAACUACCAAACAUAUUUCAUGGAGGAUUUAAUGAAACAAACUUGAUGUUGUAGAUGUUGAUGCAUCUUUCUGUAAACUUGGUCAAAGAUAAGUUUGACUUAGGAAAAACUAAA